GAUGAACGCUGGCGGCGUGCCUAAUACAUGCAAGUCGAGCGAACAGACGAGGAGCUUGCUCCUCUGACGUUAGCGGCGGACGGGCGAGUAACACGUGGAUAACCUACCUAUAAGACUGGGAUAACUUCGGGAAACCGGAGCUAAUACCGGAUAAUAUAUUGAACCGCAUGGUUCAAUAGUGAAAGACGGUUUUGCUGUCACUUAUAGAUGGAUCCGCGCCGCAUUAGCUAGUUGGUAAGGUAACGGCUUACCAAGGCGACGAUGCGUAGCCGACCUGAGAGGGUGAUCGGCCACACUGGAACUGAGACACGGUCCAGACUCCUACGGGAGGCAGCAGUAGGGAAUCUUCCGCAAUGGGCGAAAGCCUGACGGAGCAACGCCGCGUGAGUGAUGAAGGUCUUCGGAUCGUAAAACUCUGUUAUUAGGGAAGAACAAAUGUGUAAGUAACUAUGCACGUCUUGACGGUACCUAAUCAGAAAGCCACGGCUAACUACGUG
rnacentral:rRNA from 1 species